rnacentral:tRNA from 1 species
GCCCAGGUGGCGGAAUUGGUAGACGCGCUAGCCUCAGGAGCUAGUGUCCAUUUUCGGACGUGCUGGUUCGACUCCAGUCCUGGGCA